CUAUAAUUAUAACCCCACUUGCCAUAGGAAGGACCCCUUUCAUUUGAAUGAAGAAUCUUGUGAUAGUUUGUCUAGCACCUCCAGUUUUCUACACUUUAUUUCCUGUCCCCGAAACAGAAUGGACAAGAAGGGAGCAUUUUUCUCUGAGACUUCUCUUGAAAAGAGUGACGGUUGCUGAGUGAGCCCUGCAAAGACGCAUUGAUGAAUAGUGCUCACUGCAUCUGAAUGGGAAGACUGGAGGCAACCCCACCAAACUUGGGAAUGUGCCUCAACUGCACCUUGAUCUCAUCCUGGAGCACACUUGUGCUAUGCUGCUGAUCCAAAUUGGGAAAGCAAGGCUUCAAGAAAUGGUUUUGCAAAUCUUGGAAGGCCUUUAAAAUCUGUAUGGAGUCUUAUUGCAGAUGGUUAAUCCAAACGAAGCUAUCUUCAAGCCAUGAUAACUACGGAUGAACAUGUUGUACUAUUUUUAAUUGCAUUCUGGAUCCUUCCCUGGCUUCAUUCUAAAGAUAAACAAAACCACAUGUCAGUCCUUACAUAAGCUGGU